rnacentral:rRNA from 1 species
GAUGAACGCUGGCGGCGUGCCUAACACAUGCAAGUCGAGCGAUCUUCUUCGGAAGAGAGCGGCGGACGGGUGAGUAACGCGUGGGUAACCUACCCUGUACACACGGAUAACAUACCGAAAGGUAUGCUAAUACGAGAUAAUAUGUUUUAUUCGCAUGUUUGAAACAUCAAAGCUCCGGCGGUACAGGAUGGACCCGCGUCUGAUUAGCUAGUUGGUGAGGUAACGGCUCACCAAGGCGACGAUCAGUAGCCGACCUGAGAGGGUGAUCGGCCACAUUGGAACUGAGACACGGUCCAAACUCCUACGGGAGGCAGCAGUGGGGAAUAUUGCACAAUGGGCGCAAGCCUGAUGCAGCAACGCCGCGUGAAUGAUGAAGGCCUUCGGGUCGUAAAGUUCUGUCCUCAAGGAAGAUAAUGACGGUACUUGAGGAGGAAGCCCCGGCUAACUACGUGCCAGCAGCCGCCGUAAAAC